GGCCUAGGGCGGUCGGAGUGGUCUCCGACACUGGACUUCAAAUUCAGUUGUCCUGCGAAGGGAUAGGGGUUCGAUUCCCCCCUUUGGCCGCCA
rnacentral:tRNA from 1 species